GAAACUCAAGUUUGUCGGAUGUGGAAAGCUGACAGGAUGGAGGAAAAUGAGAGAUGGUGUCGAUGAUGAUAAUAACUCUUCACAGUUAUAUCAUCUAUCCUUUCCUCGUCUUUCUGAGUUAUAUAUUUGUGGAUGUGAUGAGUUGACUCAAAUGCCUACUUUUCCAAAACUUGAGGAAUUGAGUUUAGAAUUUUCUAAAGUGGAGGCAUUGGAGACGACAUUAAACAUGGUAGGUUCAAUGUGUCCGAUUGAAUUCCCUCCUCUUUCUAUGCUAAAAUACUUGCACAUUGGUGGAUAUGAUCUGAAUGUGAAAAAACUCCCAGAGGAUUGGUUGCAAAUUCUGACUUCUCUCAAGCAUCUUGGUUUUCGUAAGGUUCUAAAUAAAAAAUUUCAAGAAAUUGGAAUUUGGUUUAGGAACGGCACCAACCGUCUUCCUUUCUUGGAAAGUAUUACAUUUUUGGAUUGUAAGGAUCUAGAGGCAUUGCCAGAUUGGAUUUGCAACCUCUCAUCACUUCAUCGUAUCAAUCUUUUGGACUGUGAAUGUUUGGCUUCGCUGCCCGAAGGAAUGCCUCGCCUUGCCAAAUUACAGACCCUACAAAUUGCUGAUUGUCCUGAUUUAAUUGAAGAAUGUGAGACACAAACAAGUGCAACAUGGGCAAAAAUUGCUCACAUCCCAAACAUAAUCUUAAAAUGGUGAUGAAGCUGAUGACAUCUGCAAGAAGCCAGUUAUGAAUAUUGAUGGAAAUGUAGCUGCAAUUCAUCUUGUUUUCCCAAAAGGUGUUGCCAAAAGUGACUGCUACGAUUAUGAAUUGAGUGGAUGGAUUAGUACAUACCUGUGUGAUGAAAGUGUUUUAUUGGACCCCACAUUUCAGUAUUUCAGUUUCUUUUUUAUCUAUUUAGAUAAAUUUUAGUUCUUUAUGGUA